GCAAGGCACUGAAAAUGCCUAGAUGAGUCAUGAGACUCCAUAAACA
rnacentral:tRNA from 1 species